rnacentral:misc_RNA from 1 species
UUGGGAACCCCUGCCUUCCGUAGGGCGCCUCUCUCCCUCUUCGGUCACGCUCCUGAGCGUGCGUGGCCGCAAUGCGCGACGGUUCUUUGACUCGACGCCGGGAGUCAGUCAACCCGGUGACGGCUUCCAGGUUGCGUGCUGUUCCCUGCCAAGCGUGGUCUCUCGGCGCUCACGAGCUCGAGCGAGGGCGGCAAAUGCGUGUGUCGCGUGUGUAAGUACGUGCUCCGAGUUGUCAAAGCCAACAGACGCGUCAACGAGACCCUCGAGUACGCGGGGAAAGGAAGCGACGACGGACGCGCGUUCUUAGCGGAGGAUGCGAAAAGCCCGCGAUGCGCGCGAUCGACAGGUGACACGUUCCCGCUGAAGCGUGAAAGAAUUUCCUCCGUUCGCCACUAGCCCUAAUAGAGGUGUGCGUUGCGUUCGUGGACGCGCGAUGGGUCACCAGCGAGCACACUGGUGAAUCGAAGGAUCAAAGGAUCUUUUUCUUCAGCGCGAUCGAGAUCGACCGCGCAUGAUCCGAGUGUGGAAUUCGAUGGGAUUACUUCAGUGAUGAGAUCAGGAAGCGUGUGCGAUUGAUAAAAGAUCGAUUGAUAAUUGAUAGGGAACGUCGAAUUUCAUGUUUCGGUUUACAAUUGAAAAGUCUCUUGACUUAUAUCGCAUUGAAGAGAAAUCUUCUGAAGAAGCUCCGGCAGACUCUUUAUUAUCGUGUUAUUGUGUCAGACUAUGAAAGUGCGAUCUCUCCUCAGCUCCGAAGGCAUAAUCGGAUUCUAAUGACGAACGCUUUUCCGAUAGAUCAUCCCGCGAGGAAGGACCCCAUCGAGCGAACUUGUUGACGGCGCAUCCACGUAAUCGGCAGCGGAAUCCCCGAGGAAGCGCAGCGAGGAAUUCAAAUAUCUCCGUUCACUCGGCAUUCGCAUCCUUCGCAGCGCAUUUCGCGGGUUCGAUCGCCGACGAAGCGGGGCGGAGGGGGAUCGAUCGAGACCAUCGACGCGGCCGCAACGUCGCGUCGCCCGCCAUCCUGAGGGAGGAACCCUGCAGACCCGAUCGAGACGAUCCGAGCUGCCGCGGCUCGAGAGGAUCCACGAGGAAUCCUCCACGGAAUCCCGGCCGAUCGCCAGACGGCGAGCCACCGGUGCAUCCACGAUGGAGGACGAGCUGCGGUGCCCCAGCUGUAAGGAGCUGUUCGUGGAGCCGGUGCUGUUACCCUGCUGGCACGCCUUGUGCCUGGCCUGCGCCGUGAACCUGCAGGCGCCUCCGGAUUCGCCUCCGGAAUCCACCGCCGACUCGUCCAACGCGCCCGGCUCCGAUCAGGAGGCCGAUAAGCUGUCCAUCUUAUCGGAGACCGACUCCGGCGUGGUUUGCAGCAGCACGUCCACGAGCUCGCGACCGGGUAGCUACGUCGGCACCCCGGGCAACGGGGGCGGCUUCCCGCCGUCCGGAGGCACCCUCUGCCUCUCGUGCCCCGUCUGCCAGAAGACCGUCUACUUCGACGAGGGCGGCGCCCACAACCUGCCCAAGUAUUGGGCGAUGCAGCACAUCGUUGACAAGUAUCAGGAAUCGCGGAACGCGCGGCUACAGUGCCAGAUGUGCGAGGGGGAACCGCGCGACGCCACCGUCGCGUGCGAGCAGUGCGAGGUUUUAUACUGCGACGCCUGCAGAGAGUCCUGCCAUCCGAAGAGGGGUCCAUUGGCGGCUCACAAUCUGGGACCACCGAGAGGCAGCUGGCAAUCGAACGGGGGCAAGGGAUCCCGGCCCGAAAACACGCCGGUCUGCAACGAUCACAACGGCGAGGCGGUGACCCUCUAUUGUGCCCUUUGCAAAAUCGCGAUAUGCGCCCUGUGUCUUCGUGAUCGUCACGCCGCUCAUCCUCACGACGUCCUGCCAUUGGCUGCUGCUUGCAAAGCGCAAAAGACGGAGCUGUCGCAGAAUUUGCAGCAGCUGUCGGAGAGAGCCCGCUCGACGACGGAGUUCAUUCAAAGGCUCAAAGGAAUGACGGACAAAGUGCAUGAGGAAUGCAUGGUGCUCGAGGGAGAGGUCGAGGAUCGGGUGGCGAACCUGGUGAGUCUCCUGCAGGCGAGAAAGUCGCGACUGAUCGAGGCCGCUCGACAGACCCGCGAGGCCAGGGUGCGUUCGUUGCGUGACCAGGUGGCCAGAUGCGCCACGCACCUGCAGACGACCACGGCGCUGCUCACCUUCUGCAUCGAGGCGCUGAAGGAGACGGACAGCGCGGCCUUCCUGCAGAUUGGCGGGAUGUUGUCGGUGCGAGCGGCGACCGCCGCCGGCUCCUGGGGCGGCGCCGAGGGUGUACAGGAGAUUGCUCGUCUGCCAUUGCUGGAUCUCACCCUGGACGACAAACCGCUGCGUCGUGCCAUCGAUCAACUCACCUUCGUCCAGCUGAAACCGUCAGAGGGGGAGGAACGAUUUCCAACAGCAGCACCCGGAGCGCCUUUACUGAUCCCCGAAGAGUGUAGCGCCGAGAACAACAGCGUCACCGUUGCCUGGCAGCCGCCACCUGGGCACGGAAUUAUAGGCUGCGCCGGACAGAGAGGUCCCGCCAUCGAGGGAUACCUCUUGGAGUUGGACGACGGCUGCGGCGGGGAGUUCAGGGAGGUAUACUGCGGCCGUGAGACUAUCUGCACCGUGGAUGGGCUGCACUUCAACUCGCUCUAUAACGCCAGGGUGCGAGCCUUUAACAGCGCCGGCGAGGGUGAAUACUCGGAACUGAUCGGCCUUCAGACCGCGGAGGUGGCGUGGUUUUCGUGGGCCACCGGCGCGGCUGGCAUACCGCAGGAGGUGUCCAUAUCGGAGGACGCGAUGAGCGCGUCCUGCGAGGGCUACGAGCACCGCGUGGUCCUCUCGAGCGUCGGCUUCUCGCGAGGGGUCCACUACUGGGAGCUGACUAUCGAUCGCUAUCACAGUGACACCGAUCCGGCCUUCGGUAUCGCCCGGGCCGACGUUUCGCGCGAUCAGAUGCUAGGUAAGGACGACAAGGGCUGGAGCAUGUACAUAGAUCGGCAACGGUCGUGGUUCAUGCAUGGCGGUGGUCACGCGCAGCGCACCGAGGGUGGCGUUCAACAAGGCUCGACUGUCGGCGUCCUCCUCGACCUGGACACCACGCACACAUUGCGCUUCUUCGUCAACGAUCAGCCCCAGGGCGGCGUCGCGUUCCGCGAUCUCUACGGCGUCUUUUAUCCGGCGAUAAGCCUGAACCGCGGCGUCACCGUAACCCUUCACACCGCCCUGGACGUACCGCGUCAUUUGCUCGCGCUUCACGAGGAGUAUGUUAGCGAUAUGGUUCAAAGCUAGGGGUAUCUCAAUGUCCUCAAGAAAGGCCUGUCGCAGGAGAUCGGCUCGCCCUUAAGCUCGACCGUUUGCAUCGGUGACAGGUGCAGGGACUUCGAGUCGGGCCAGCUGCUGGAGAAGAUUGUCGAGGAGAGCCCGGUCGACGUUAAUUGAUGAAUAGAUCGCUCUGAGAAUGCCUAAUAUGAUCGUAGCCUCGGUUUUCUAUCAUCUCGCUCGGUUCGACGUGCCCGGAAUCGCUCCAAAAUGUCGAUAUCGACGUGAACUUUGACUUUUUUGCCACGUUGUGCGGCGACACGAAAGCGGUUCGAUUUUCACGCGAACUCAGAGUACGUAAUAUUCCCUCCGAAUAUUUUGCAGCUAUUCGAAAAUGUAUUUUGCGAGUACAGCGAGUACAUUUUAUGUCAUAUCCGAUUUAGAAAUAAGAAUUUUUAUGUACGAUUCAGAAGUGCAUUGCCCCUGAGAGUGUUAAUCCGAGUAAAAUUCGCGUUACUUGUCUGAAUAUAAGCGGGAUCCACGAGUAAUGACAAUUCAACAGGUCCGGAAACUUUAGCGAGGGAGACGCAAACUACUGGAUCUUUUUGGAUCCGGCUUAUUCGAGAAACUGAAACUCUAACUGAAAUCGGGAUUAUUUUCCGUUUCGUUUGCACGAUCAAUACUAAACCGGAAACCAUCGAGAUAAUAUUUUCAUCAGAGAUGCAGACAUUUAAAAUAUACAAGACAGUAUAGAGCCACUCUCGAAGAGUGAGAAGCCGCUUUAUUCUCAAGACUUAAUGAGACUGAAGUAAUUUACGCGCACACGUCACGCAGUCCAUAAAUAAUACUUCCCGUCAGGAGGUCAAGACAACCGAGAUAAAGCCCCCUCCGUUCAAGAACAGCACAUUUUCUAUAUAUAGCGCGCGCUAUAAAGCGAAGCAAAGAAAAUGUUUUUUUUCUACGUACAUUUCCUGAAUACGUUUCUUCAUCCUGGAAGAUUAUCUCGAAGACAUAACGCACUUCUCAGAGUUCGAUGCUUCAGUCUAAACUAAUUCUUUGACGUUUCGUCCUGUACAACUGACUACAAUCUACGAGUGUAUGUAUCGAUCGGAGAAAUUGCCGAAUACUUAACUGAAACUGGAAGAGUUGACCCUUGGAAGCAAGGAAACGUCCAUUAGCAAAUAGCCAAGUAUCGUCGCCGACAAACUUCCGUCGAGGACCGUGUUUGAGUAGAAGCGAUCAAUCGGUCGGUUCGAGAGAUCGCGUCAAGAGAGGCGAAGAGUCACCCUGAAUAAGUGAGAGGAAUCUCUUUGCGAAAUUCGUCGAUGGAGGAAGAAACGUGAGUAUCGUUUCGCUCACUCGAUGAAACGCGACGAUUCUCUUGGAACUUCUUACUUCGGGGAGUAAAGUCGAGACUCUAGGGCGCAAAGAGCAUCUUGAGGGCUGACAGAAGGCAUCGAGAAGAACGUUGAGCAGUCUUCUUUACAGCUUGCACCAAGUAACUAGUAAAGAAACUCGACGAUCGAUCCCACCGGACGGCAUCCGCCGUACAUUUUAUCGAUCGCGUAAUUAAUUCUUUCAUCAUCUACCGUCGUAUCGGCGCCGAACCAUCAUGAUAAUCCAUUGAGGAACUCAUCAUUCGCCUCGCGUAAUCAUCGUAUAACGCAAAAGGAAGACGGUGCAUUUUCUUUUUCUGCCGAAUGGAUCGACGGAGAAUUCAGAUUCUUAACUUAUUCGAUGCUGAAACGAUUAACGAGGGCGCGAAAUCGCGAGCAUUGAAUCUUUGAAUGAGCGCUGACGAGGCGCGAUCGACGACUGAAGAGACGGAGGAUAAUCGACCACGGUAAGAUAAUUAUCCUAUACAGGACGAGGAAUCUGAGCUCCUCGGGUUACAUGCUGAUCGAACGGUUCCUCGUCCUGCUCGCGAUCGACACCCCGAGAUCGCUCGAUCGUCCUAUCAUUCAUUAUCCAUAUCGACACACGUAUAAGUGUAAUCGCGUUUUGUAGGCGUUAAGCUCCAUUAAAAGCGUAUAGACAGGUAAGGCGUAUAAAGCACAGUGCUGCCGCGGCUUUAGUGUACAAUAACAUAGGAAUCGCGUAUACGUUUUUCUAGUCUUCGAUAGAGACCUCCCCUGAUCGACAUCUCUCUCCUCUCUGUUUAGACCCACCCUUAUUCCGUCCCCCUUUCCCUUCCUUUCUCCCUCGCACUCGCGUCUACGCUGGUCCUUUUUUACGACUUUGUAUCUCGACAGGUCAGGAAAACAGGACGCUCGAUGUUCUCGUUAUAUUCCGAUGUAACGAUAACCCGGAAGCGUAAUUCCGCGCCGGGCAUCGCGUUCGCUGCUGCUGCGCGCGUCUAUUGGCGCCAUAUGUACAUAAGUGUAUAUAUACAUAUGACUAUAUCGAUUGUACCGCCGAUGAAUUUACCGAUUGUACCAUUUACGACUCUGUAUCGGAUCAAUAAAACGCAACGAAAACGCC